AAUAGAUACCCUGGUAGUCCACGCCGUAAACGAUGAGUGCUAAGUGUUGGGGGGUUUCCGCCCCUCAGUGCUGCAGCUAACGCAUUAAGCACUCCGCCUGGGGAGUACGGUCGCAAGACUGAAACUCAAAGGAAUUGACGGGGGCCCGCACAAGCGGUGGAGCAUGUGGUUUAAUUCGAAGCAACGCGAAGAACCUUACCAGGUCUUGACAUCCCGGUGACCACUAUGGAGACAUACGUUUCCCCGUUCGGGGGCAACGGUGACAGGUGGUGCAUGGUUGUCGUCAGCUCGUGUCGUGAGAUGUUGGGUUAAGUCCCGCAACGAGCGCAACCCUUAUUCUUAGUUGCCAUCAUUCAGUUGGGCACUCUAAGGAGACUGCCGGUGAUAAACCGGAGGAAGGUGGGGAUGACGUCAAAUCAUCAUGCCCCUUAUGACCUGGGCUACACACGUGCUACAAUGGACGGUACAAACGGUUGCCAACCCGCGAGGGGGAGCUAAUCCGAUAAAACCGUUCUCAGUUCGGAUUGUAGGCUGCAACUCGCCUC
rnacentral:rRNA from 1 species